GCGGCUGUAGUAUAACGGCUAGUAUACGGGUCUGUGGAACCUGUGGAGGGGGUUCGAUUCCCCCCAGCUGCC
rnacentral:tRNA from 1 species